AUAGAACUGCAUCCAAAACUGAGGGGCUAGAGUCUGGGAGGGGAAGAUGGAAUUAGUGGUGUAGGGGUAAAAUCCGUAGAGAUCACUAGGAAUACCAAAAGCGAAGGCGAUCUUCUGGAACAGUACUGACGCUGAGGCGCGAAAGCGUGGGGAGCAAACAGGAUUAGAUACCCUGGUAGUCCACGCCCUAAACUAUGAAUGUUAGUCGUCGGGAGGCUCGUCCUCUCGGUGAUGCAGCUAACGCAUUAAACAUUCCGCCUGGGGAGUACGGUCGCAAGAUUAAAACUCAAAGGAAUAGACGGGGACCCGCACAAGUGGUGGAGCAUGUGGUUUAAUUCGAAGAUACGCGAAGAACCUUACCUGGCCUUGACAUUGAUAGAAUCUGCUAGAGAUAGCGGAGUGCCCUUCGGGGAGCUUGAAAACAGGUGCUGCACGGCUGUCGUCAGCUCGUGUCGUGAGAUGUUGGGUUAAGUCCCGCAACGAGCGCAACCCUCAUCACUAGUUACUAACGGUUCGGCCGAGGACUCUAGUGAGACUGCCUUCGUAAGGAGGAGGAAGGUGAGGACGACGUCAAGUCAUCAUGGCCCUUACGGCCAGGGCGACACACGUGCUACAAUGGGAUGUACAAUGAGACGCAAUACCGCGAGGUGGAGCAAAUCUAUAAAGCAUCUCUCAGUUCGGAUUGUAGUCUGCAACUCGACUACAUGAAGCUGGAAUCACUAGUAAUCGUAGAUCAGCCAUGCUACGGUGAUACGUUCCCGGUGCUUGUACUCACCGCCCGUCACACCAUGGGAGUUGAUUUCACCCGAAGCGGGGAAGCUAAACUGG
rnacentral:rRNA from 1 species